UUCUGCAUUUUACAGAAAAUGCACACCAUUCUUGCAUGUAAUAUUCUAAAUAUAAAUACUCAUUAUUUGGCAUUUUCAUAUAGACUAUAUAUUUUUAAGGCUAGGGCCAGACAGGGCAGAAAUCAGCCUUCCGAAAUCCAUAGGCUUAUUUCAGUCCCUGACUGCUAGCCAAAGCGGAUUUACAUAGCAGGCACCCCUAGGCCCACUGCCGCACGUCGCCCCUGUCCCCUCCCCUUCAGUCGAGCACAUGAGCAAAUAUCCAUAAUUGUAUCCAGAGCACUGGUUAUUGGAGUGGGAAAUUUAAAAAAUGAUUGUAUCUCCUAUAAAUUCCCAGUGCUUCUCAUCCAAUGCAGGUGUGGUUGGGUGGCAUGCUGGUAGCCGUAAGCCUUGUGUUUGCUCCGACGUGAACAGACUCUACAGAUUUCAGCUCGAAAUGCAGUCUUAUGUUUUUUCACAGAAAUCUGCCGAGUCUGUUUGCACAGGAGCCAACACAAUGUGAGCAGACAAGAAGAUUUGGGUUGCAGUUGGGGUCUGAAAUCAGCCAGGGAAUGCACUUUCCACUUUGUAUCUUAAUUAGAAGUUGCUUUGUCCAUUUUGAAUAAAACGUUUUAAAUUUAAACAGGCUGUUUGCUAUACACUCGAUAAAGGGCGAGAACCCCAAUACAUGUUGUGUGCGUUGGCACAACAAAGGCUCUGCUGUAAAGUCUAUACUUUCAAGAUUUUGAUUAAAUAACUGUAUACACCUAAACACUGUUCUGCAUAGUAAAAAUGUAGUGUUGCAUGUUGCUAAAAACUCCCAACUUUUUAUGUAAUGCAUACUGUUAUACAGUAAUUAUAGGCCACAAAUGAAACUUACACUAUAAUAUAAUACCCCUGAUUUAUAAAAAGAAGGGGUUAAGUGUAUGCACACACAAGAUAGAUAGAUAAAUCAUAAAUAAAAACCAUGUCAUGUAAUUACCAAAAAUUAACAUAAAACUUAAAACAAGAAUUAGCUACUCAUUUCAAUGCAAAAACUUCUCAUGUGCAGCAAAUACCAUUUUCAGUCCAGUCUCUACAAAUCCAAUGCUCCCGAGACACACAGAGACUACAUUAAACAGGUAAAAGGCAGACAGAUUAAAUUUUUAAUAACUAUUUUUUUUUUCACUUGAAAUCUUCUGUCAACAUUCUGUUCUGUUCUUCAUCUUCAACUUACAUACUCUUCCUCAAACACAACUUAUCCUUGAAUUUUGAUGUCAUUCCUUAUCAGAAAGCUGACAGCCCCCAAAAUGACAUUUCUAUGUUCGGAUCUUGCCAGAGAUAGAGGGAUUUUUUGAUUCCGAUGAUGCAUUCUGCAGAUCAAGCAGCCUGAACACCAAGGACACCUCUGAGUCCUAAUCCCUUGACCCAUACGCCCUCCUCUAACUAGCUAUUGACAUUGAACUUAAGAAGCACCAGUGCUUAGCUGAGAUAAUGAGAGCUGCAGGCCAGCUGCAGAGGGAUCAAGGGAGACGCAUGCAGUGAUGUUGGUGCUAAUAACAUCAGUCUAGGGCUUUGAAAGGUGGAAUUUUCCCCCCACAAAAUACAUUAUGCAGCCAAUAUUGAUGUGGCAGAAUGUUUUUUCAAUAGCCUUUGAAAAACUAUAAAGUUUUUAUAAACAAAAUUGUCCAGGUAUCCCAAUAACAAUACAGGUGUAUACUAAUUGUAUUAGUAAGAAAACUUAGAUUUUUGUUUGUAACAUUCAUACAACUCUGCAUUUAAAGUUUGGUAGCCUUGUGGCACACUUGUUUUGGUAAUAGUUAUACAGUGUAUAUUACAUAGGUACCUCUCAUUCCUGAGUUAAUUCUAAAUGAAUGAAUGCCCUUCUGAUGUUAAAAGUCACUUGCAAUCACCUGCCUGGUAGUCUGUGUUUAUCAAAGCACACCAGAUGAUUGCUUUAUAUCGCGCUGGGCUUUCAUAUGCUCUUCUUAAAAUACCUUAAAAUUACUCCCCUACCUUUAUAUUUACAUGUAGCAGAAGGGCAAUGGUACAUGUGGAAAUUGCUCUUCCUUUAGGCGACAAAAGUACGCAAAACACAUUUGAAUUGAAAAGUUUUACAAUCACCUGUUGCGAGCUGGUUGAAUUGCCUGAAAAUGCAGACGGAAGGAUCUACACAUGAUUAUUCGGCUUACAACAUGGCAUUUCAUUUCUUUUCAUUCAAAGUCGGCAGUAUCCCGGUACUUCAUGAACUGUUAAAUCACGAAGACCGCGAAAAUCUGAAAAAUAGUGGAAAUCAGGAGGAGAUUCAUAGAAUUACGCUCCGCAGUGGAACCCACGCGCCGAAGUGAACCAGGCGCCAUCUUGGAUCUUUGGGAAAAAGGUACCUGCAAAGUGGAGAAAUCGUGAACAGGCUGGUUAUCACUAAAAGUCUAUGCCCGGCUGUGCCCUUGAGGAAAGACCGGAACACAGGAUCUGUUGAGAUCAAUACAAUUAUUUUGGGGGACAUUUACAGCUGGAAAAAAAGGAGUAGGGGACGCCACAUAAAUUCCCUUUGGAAACCCGUUUUUCAUCUACAGCCUUAUACAAAUUAGCAUGAAAAUCCACUGAGAGAAGUACCUUGUACCCUAUACCGAAUUGCCGAACUGGAGAACUAUAACUCACACCCAAAACACAAAAAAACUUUUCUAAGUUGGAGAACUUUAACUCACAGCCUUCCUUGCUAUUUCAUAAUUUUGGCAAGCACCUAUCAUAACCAAGGAGUAAAUAUUGUAUUAUUAAAAUUUAAAAGAGCGUUUA